rnacentral:lncRNA from 1 species
GUAGCAGAACUCCAUGUUCUAAUAGCCCCGGCAAAGUUGUUUUUAAUACUUUUUCUCUACGAAUUUUCAUUAAAAUUUAAUUCCAUUUUAACUUUGUCAAUUUUCCCCAAAGAUAAAUUAAGACACACAGAGAGAUUGUCAUUUCCUGUUUGAAGUCUCAUUCCUGUGUACAAUGUCAGUCUUUUUUAUUUAGGCCUAUGCCAUUCCAUCAGGGUAAAUAACUUUCUAACUAGUCAUUUAAGAGCAACUCCCGGGAAACUGUGAUGCAAUCCCACAUAUCAGCCAGACUUCAAAAGCUGCCAGAUUAUUGUGAAAGGAGAAACACUGUUUUCGAAGGCUGCUGAUAAUGCCUAUUAGCCAGAAGAAAGAGCCUGAAUCAUUCAAAGGUUUUCCAUCUAGUAAAGAAGUGUGGUAAAAAUCUUGCCCAGAUCUGCAUGUGCUAAGCAUCUACGUAAGUUGGAGCAUCAUAUUAAUGACACCCAGUGAAGAAACGAAAGAAUGAAGUGUAAUUACUAUAUCAAAAAUCCACAGAAUGUGAAAGUAUAAAGGAAAACUCUCAGUCACACACACAAAACAGGAAACCAGCAGUUGUAAUUUCUUCAGCAAUUCUUAAUGUAAGUUUUUAAUAGUUUAGUACUUUUCUUUCAUAAGUAUUGGACCAAGCUGUAAUGGAAUUAUACGACUCAUGCUUUCAGAACAGAGCCUUCUGUUACUCGUGUUUUUAUCCUGAUGGCCAUAUGACCAUGUGAAGUUCCAUCAUGAUUCUGUUGGAUGUUACCUUUGUCUUAUCCACUGAACUCAAGCCAGGGUGUUGGAGAAUUCAAUAGCUGAGUCUGAGGGUAAAUUAAAAUACCAGUCAAAAUUAAAUGGACUGUGUGAAACAGGAGUGAGCUUACAGGUUAUUAUGAGAUUUGUCCUGCCCAGUUUAAUACAACCCCUUCUCUGCUGAAGGGUAAGUAGGAAGGCUUUUCAUACAAAUAGAAGACCAGGUCAAAAAAAAAUCCACUCCUUUUCCUUCUGCUUGGCUUACUGGACUUGUAGGCAGACCUAGUUUUCCUACUGUAUUAAUGGCUAUGGAGCUGAAUUUCUUUGCAAUAGAAGUUGUUAUUUGAGUUUAGCAACAUUGAUAAAAUUGGCUCAUCAAACCGUUUUAUAUUGAAAAGGGCUUCAUGGACAGUGACCUGCUGUGAGUUGGCUGACAGCUGAAAUGAUGAACAAUACUGUUUAGUUCUGCCCAUCGUGCCUGCCAGAGACUAAGAAUAACUUGACCAGUAAGGAGGGUGGAUCUUUGUUAGCUGUUCUGCAUUAUUUCUUCCAAUUUAGUAUUUAACCCCAAGAAAGAAUCAAUCGCAUGUGGGUGGCUAUUCAUUGUAAUAUUUAAAGGUAAAGUAGCACAGUGGUCAAGGGUGAAGGCUAGGAGUCAGACUUGAAUUCAAAUGCCAGCUCCACCCUUUACCACACAUGGGAACAUGGGCAAGUUACUUCACUUCUUUAACCAUCAGUUUCCUCAUUUCUAAGACAAAUCUUGUUGGAAUGACUUUUUUUCAAAAUGAAUUAAGUGUAUAGUAGAGGGCCUAUAGUUUUAUAUGGUUUAUAUAAUUACUAAAACUUUUUGUAUAUGAUUAUAAUAACUACAUACAAAAUGUCAUGGCAAAUGCAUAAAAACUGACUAUUGACUAUGCUAUCCCCCACUCCACUCCCCACCAUUCAUUCCUAAGCCCACUCCAGUCAGGCAAUCUGCCAUUCCACUGAUACUACACUUGACAAGGUCACCAAUGACAUUUACACUGCUAAAUGCAGUGGCCAGUUCUCAGUCUUCAUCAGAGUUGAGCACUCAGCAGCCUUUGGAAAAGUUAAUCUUGCAUUCCACUGCCUGCCCUUUUUUGUUUUCCUAAUCUCUAAACAUUGGAGGGCUCCAGGGCUCCAUCCUCUGGCCUCUUCUCUAUCCAUAACCCCUCCCCUGGUGACCUCAUCUAAUCUUGGAGAUUUACUAUCAUGUAGAUGCUACUGACUUCUCAAAUAUAUAUUUCCAGUUCACAUCUCUCCUGUGAGUUCCAGACUUGUUUAUCCAGAUGCCUGUUCAAUUUCUGCUUGAAUGUCUUAGGUAGUUUCUCAAACUUGGCAUGUGAAAAACUGAACACCUUGAUUUUCCUAAAAAUCUGUUUCUCUAUCAUUUAGCUGCUCAGCUAAAAACUUUGGAGUUAGACAUAUGGACAGCCCACCCCAAGGGAAGAAUCAGAGGAGAAGGGACACAAGACCCCAGAAACACACAAAGCACCUUAAUAUGCAUGCUGCAUCUCUCUAAAAUUGUGGAACCUGUUUACCUGCUCUGGAGAAUGGCUGCCUGUGGCAGACAUAGGAGUUGUCCUCAUGCUGUGCUUCCUAUCUUCCACAGUAAUUGACUUGUAGCUGCAAUACAGUUACCAACCAGGAAUACAAUUUCUCAGCCCCAUGUCUUGCACCUACAGCUAAGUGUGGCCAUGUGACCAGUUUUCACCAAUUAAGUGUGAAUAGCAACAAAGUGCACCACCUUCAAUUGGAGGCUUUGAAGAAGCAGGGCAGCCUUCCCUUGCUCUCUUUCCCCUUGUUCUGGUGGGAUACAGAUGACAAUAAGGCCCUGGGUUUUGAGGUAGCCACAAGAUGCAAAAUACCUCAGACCUGAGUCACCACAAGGAAGAGAGAAGCCCACUGACAUGGAAUACCCAGCCUAGUCUACAGAUGAAUAAGAAAUAAACUUCUAUUAUGUUCGAACAUUACAGAUUUUGUUCUGUUAUAGCAGUUUAUCUCACCCUGACUAAACUGUUGCCUAUCUUCCAAGAUAGGCCCUCCUUCCCUGAAAGUGACUUUUUCAUACAUGUAAUCUGUAUUUUAAUUCAUAUUCUCCAAAGCAUAUCCACAUCUAUUCAACUAUUUUCAUGUCUUCCAUCAAUAAAAACCUCAUAUAAAUAUAUACGAGGUUUUUUUUUUUUUUUUUAAGACACUUUGGAGUUAUCCUUGACCCUGUCCUCUUUUCUCAUACCCAUAUACGAACCAUUAAGAAAUCUUGUUGCCUCAACCUUCAAAAUCUAUCCAGGAUUUAACCACUAAUCAACCCCUUCUCCUCUGUCAGUCUGUCCUCCUAGAUUUCAUCUUGACCAUCCUUAGAAACUCCUAACCAGUCUUAUUGCUUUCGCCAUUGUACAUCCAGACUAUUCUCAAAUGGCAACCAAUGAGAUCGUGCUGCACUUCUGCUCAAAACCUGCAAAUGGCUUCCUACCUCACUUAGGGUAAAACCAAAUGGGGCCUGCACAAUCUGGCUUCACCUCCUAGUGCUUUCCUCCUUGCUCAUUCAGCCCAGCCACACUGCUCUUCUUGCUUUUCCAUGAACAUGCUAGACACACUCUCACGUUUGGGCUUUUGCACUUGUUUCCCUUCCCAGAAUGCUCUCCUCGUGGAUACGCACAUAUCCAGCCCCUUAUCUCCUUCAAAUUUUAGUUCAAAUGCCACUUUCUCAAUGAGGGUUUUCUAACCAGCCUAUUUAAACUUACAGUCUCCCAUUGUCUAAAGCCUUGUCUCCCUUCCUGCUUUACUUUUCUUCAUAGUAAUUACCACCAUCUGACUUAUAUUUGCUUGCCUUUCUUGUUGAUUUUCUGUUUUACCCACUCAAAUGUAGUCCAUAAGGGAAGGGAUUGUUGUUUCAUUUGUUCACUUCUCUAUCCCCUGGGCCUGAGCCUGGCUUUGGGUAGGCACUCAGUUAAUGUUUGUGUAAAUUAAUAAAUGAAUGAAUGACAUUUACUACCUUAUAUGGUACUAUAAUAUAAAAGCAUAUGAUGCAGAGAAUUAGGAAUCUAGAAACUAGUUUUGACUCAGCAUCCUAUGUACAAGGUUAUGUAGACAAGUCAUUUCACCUCUCUGAGCCUCAUUUUUCUAAUAUUUAAAAUCUACCCUCCAGAGCUGUAAAGUGUUCAAAUAUAGAUUAUCUUAUGGAGUGCAGUCUCAUGCUUGCACAAUGAAAGAAGUUAAUUUCUACAUACCUUCCAUGUACCCACAAUCAAUGGUUUAUGUAAACCUCACCUCAGGAAAAUUAAGUUCUGUAUGAGCAGAUUUUUUUUUAAAUUGCCACUGAAAUAAAUACCAAAUUAAGCCAAAUAAAUACCAAAACAGACUUUGCAUUUUUCAUCUUUAGCCAAGCUCCUCUGGUUUGCAUACUCAUAAUAUAAUUCAAAUGACCAUUUUUGGAGUUUUGAUUUUUAGUGCUCUUUUUCUCUGCUAGGAGAAAUGAAUAUCUGAUGCUUUGUUUUUCCAAAUUGUUGUAUGAAAACUGAGUAAUGCUAUAAAGCUUUUUAAAUAUUUUAGAGGUAUAGCAAGUGAACUAUUUUAUAAGUUUCUGGGAUUUUUGAAAAUAUUUUUUAUUUUUAAUUUUUACUGAGACAGGGUCUUGCUCUGUUGCCCAGGCUGGAGUGCAGUGGUGUGAUCUCAGCUCACUGCAGCCUCUGCUGCCCAGGUUCAAGCGAUUCUCAUGCCUCAGCCUCCCAAGUAGCUGGGACUACAGUCCUGUGCCACCAUGCCUGACUAAUUUUUUUUGUAUUUUUAGUAGAGAUACGGUUUCGCCAUGUUGGCCAGUCUGGUCUCGAACUCCUGACCUCAAGUGACCUGCCCACCUCAGCCUCCCAAAGGGCUGGGAUUACAGGCAUGAGCCACUGCACCCAGCCUGAACAUAUUUUUUAUGUUCAAUAUAAUGUUGACUACCUAGUAAAGUCAUAUUUGUUCAAAUUCCCCUGAUUUAUUUUCUAAUGAAUACCUCGAUAUUUCUCUUAUAUGCUGGUCACUUAUCAAAUGAUUCCCAGUGAACACUUUUGAUUGAUUAAUGUAUAACUUGAUCAGGUACUGAAUUUGCAUUUGCUUAGUAAGGCCCACCUUGAAAAAUAGUGCAAAUAAUUUAUUCAGGUCAGAUAGGGAGAAAGAAAUCAUAAAAAUACUAAACCAAACAAACUUUAGAAGUGGCUGUUAAUAGAUAAGAUUUUCAAGGCCCAUGAUAAAGGGAUUCUAGUUCUAGAUCUGCUUUCCAUAUUCUUCAAUUCCAAGGGACAUCUUCAGCGUAGCUCCUGACUGGCCUGGCUAACGCUUCGUGCAUCCUUUCUUGAGCUUUGAAGUUUGUCCUGUUUGCCCCUCAAUCCUCAUAAGGUCUCCUUGUGCAUGUGCCCCUCCCUGAGUUUGUGUGUGAGUUGCUGUCUCAUUCCUGGUCUAUGUUCCCUAUGUUUUUAUUUCCUAUCUUUUAGUAUGUAAGUAGGUAGAUAGACAGAUUGACUGAUGAUUGAUUGAUAGAAAUAGAUAUAUAAUUUAUUUUCCCAUGGGUAGAUCUUUAAGGUUUUCAGGCAUGGGAGUAAGAUAACCACCCUAUCCCUCUGUGUGGUGGAAUAGGGUAGAGUAUGGCUGUGGCCAGAGAGACAACAGAACAGUGUAAGAAAGUGUAAAAGUCUUGAACUAUAGCAUAGAUACGCAAGAAAUAAAUGAAAAUGCUGCUGUUUAAUGUGCUGUUUGCAAUUUUUAAAAGUCUAUCAGUGGGAGAAUUGAAUAGGUAAAUAAAGUUUUCAUUGUUAACUUUGUAACAAUAAGUUUCUGAUAAUCUGUAACACAACAAUAAAGUAAGAAAGCUCAAAAGUAUUCUCAAAUUUCCCCAUCAGGGAAUAAUUUCUUCCUGAAUAUCACUCACAGCUCCCUGGAAUAAUAAUACAGUAUAACCUUUUUAUUCAAUUGACACCUAUGAGCCAAUUUCUAUUGUUUCUCAACCAACCCUCCUACUCUUCACCAGUCUGUGUUGGGGCCAUAUCUAUGUAUUCACAUACAUAGUAUUCUUUUCUUACAUCUAUCCUAGAAUAUGUAUGUAUAACACCAUAAUACAAGUCAACUGUCUCUUAUCUGCAACCACAAAUCCAUAAAGCUCUGAAAACCAGAAGUUUGUUUUAUGAUUGGUACCAAAAUUUAUUUUGUGCAAAACCUGGCUUGAACAGACAUGAGGCUUGCUAGCUGAUAUGCCCCACUAGAUGGUGAGCUUUAUGGAGGCAGUCUUGAUUCCUCCUGUCUGCCUGGUAUCUAGUGAAUCUCAACAAAUAUCAAAUAUUUGGAAUAAGCAAAUGAAUAUUUUCUAUCAAUUUAAUAUAUUUGAAUUUAUUAGUCUUCCUCUGUUGUUCUUAUUUGUUUUUUGAGACGGAAUCUCACUCUGUCACCCAGGCUGAAGUGCAAUGGCAUGACCACAGCUCACCGCAGCCUCAAACUCCCAGGCUCCAACAAUCCUCCUGCCUCAGCCUCUUGAGUAGCUGAGACUACAGGCACACACCACUGCACUCAGCUAAUUUUUGUGUUUUUUUGUAGAGAUGGGGUUUCGCCAUGUUGGCCAGGCUGGUCUUGAACUUGGCUCAAGGGAACCACCCACCUCAGCCUCCCUAAGUGUUGGGAUUACAGACAUGAGCCACUGCGCCUGGCCUCUGUUCUUAUUUUUUAAAUGUUAAAACUUUGAGAAAACAAGAGUUAGGGCUAAUAAGUGCUUUUCAAAAAUUUAUUUUUAAACUGAAAAUAUAAACAUUUGGUCAGAUUGAAAAAUCAAUGAUGGAACCAAGAAUAAUAUAGUGUUUCCUGAGUUUUAGAUUAGUAUUUUCUUACCUAGAUAAGACUAGUAUUAUGAAUGCCAGAUAAUUCCAAGGCCAAGAAAAACAACUUUCUUUAAAAUCUAUUAAAAUGUUAUGAGUGAAAAUGAUGAAAAUAACGUUAUUUUACUCCUGUGCCUGAAAACACUUAAGGGGUCCCCACUGGGGAAAAAUAUGAAUCAAUAUCUACAUAUGUAUAUAUUUACUUAUACAUAUAUUAUACCACUAAAAAAUCAGAAAUAAGAAGGUAGGGCAGAUAGAUCAAGAAUGACAUAGCAACUUACAUACGAACUUAGGUAGGAGAACUUGUAAAUGUAUUUUGAAUAUUUGAUGCUUCUCCAGAUUCUUUCACCUUUUCUUUAUACAUGCUUUUAUGUGGGUUCACAUAUAUAAAAAUUAUGUAUAUUGUAUACAAGUUUGUAUUUUUUUCUACAUUUUGAGGAAAUUUUGAGGAAGCAAACUUCUGCUUUAUGAAACAUCCACUCAUGACAUCAAUAAUUGCCAAGUAGAAUCUUUUUCAUAAAACACUCAUGACCUAAAUUGAAAAACAUAAAAGUUUUAUUGAAGUUACAAAUGUCAGGACACAAGUACUGUUAUCAAAUAUUAGAAUUAUGAUAUACCAUAACAUCUAUUAUUCUGCCUUGCAUUAUCAUUCUAAAUUUUGUAAAUAUUUGUUGGGUCAUAAAGAAAUAAAUUUCUCUUUGAGCCAUCUAACUUACUUCCUUCUAAUAUCCAAUUUAUUGAAUAGGAUGCCAUUCUAUUUCCUCCGAUGAAUUUUCAUCUGAUGUCCAUUUGCAGUUCACCCUUAAACAACAUGGAUUUGAACCGCAUGGGUCUAUUUAUACGUGAAUUUUUUUUAGUAAAUAUAUUGAAAAAUUUUUUGGAGAUUUGCAACAACUUGAAAAAACUUGCAGACAAACUGCAUAGCAUAGAAAUACUUUCGAAAAUUUUUUUUUGGCCGAGCGCGGUGGCUCAGGCCUGUAAUCCCAGCACUUUGGGAGGUCGAGGCGGGCAGAUCACCUGAGCUCGGGAGUUUGAGACAAGCCUGGCCAACAUGGUGAAACCCCGUCUCUACUAAAAAUACAAAAAUUUACCGGGCAUGGUGGUGGGCGCCUGUAGUUCCACCUACUCGGGAGGCUGAGGCACGAGAAUCACUUGAACCCGGGAGGCGGAGGUUGCAGUGAGCCGAAAUAGCACCACUGCACUCCAGCCUGGGUGACACAGCCAGAUUCCGUCUCAAUAAAUAAAUAAAUAAAUAAAUAAAUAAAUAAAUAAAUAAAUUUUAAAGUUAGGGCCAGGCACGGUGCUUCACACUUACAAUCCCAGCACUUUGGGAGGCUGAAGCGGAAGGAUCAUUUGAGCCCAGGAGUUUGAGACCAGGAGUUUGAGACCAGGAGUUUGAGACCAACCUGAGCAACAUAGUGGUACCCCAUUGCUACAAAAAAAUAAAAAGUAAAAAGUUAGCAAGCUGUGGUGGCACUCCUGAAGUCCCAGCUCCUCAGGAGUGGGAGGAUCACUUGAGCCUGGAAGGUUGAGGCUGCAGUGAUCCUUGAUCGCAAACACUGUGCUCUAGCCUGGGUGACAGAAUGAGACCCUGUCUCAAAAAAAAAAAAAAAAGAAAAAAGAAAAAAAGAAAAGAAAAGAAAAAAAUAGGAAUAGAAAAAGUUGGGUAUGUCAUGAGUGCAUAAAUACAUAAAUAUGUGUAGCCACUAAUCUAUUUUAUCAUUUACUGCCAUGAAAUACUUGAGUCGGCCAAACCAACCCCUUCUCUUCCUCUUCCUCUUCAGCCUACUCAACAUGAAGACAAUGAGAAUUAAGACUUUAUUAUUAUCCACUUCCACUUAAUGAAUAGUAAAUAUAUUUUUUCUUAUGAUUUUCAUAAUAUUUUACUUUCUCUAGCUUACUUUAUUGUAAGAAUACAGUAUAUAAUACAUGCAAUAUACAAAAUAUGUGUUAAUUAACUGUUUAUGUCAUUGGUAAGGCUUCUGGUCAACAGUAGCCUACUAGUAGUUAAUUUUGGGCGGAUCUAAAAGUUAUACAUGGGUAAUUGACCAUGUAGAAGUCGGCACACCUAACACCCAUGUUAUUCAAAGGAUUCAUGGGUCAACUGUAUUUCACUAUUUUUAUCUAUUUGUAAAUUAUUAAUAAUUGCUUUAUGUAUAAAAACAACAGCUGUCUCAUCAUCAUUAUAAUGUCAAUUGUUCCAUCCUUAUACUAUUAAUAUGAUAAAUAUACAUUUAUACUUCAAAUGACAGAAAAGUAGGCAUUAAUCAGCAAAGCAGUUCAGGAAAAUUAAUCUGGCAGGACUGAAUAAAAUGGGCUUGAAGAAAGUAGGCUUAAAGCAGAAAUAUAUUGGCUAGGACUCCAUUGCCAUUAUCUAAACAAGAAUUAAUGAGUUUCCUAACUGGGAAUGAAAUAGAAGAAAUGGAAAGAAGGGACAGUUUUAAAAUGUAAUGAAGGGAAAAUUGAUGCAAUUGGAUAACUGGUUGAAUAUAAGAAGCAAGACAGACUAUCAUAAUUGUUAGAUAUUUCAGAUAAUGUGGGCAUGAAAGAAAGAGAUGCCAAGAUGGUAGUAGGUAGUAGAGAGAAGGCCAAGGAAAUACUUGUAUUUCCUGAAGUUGGGAAAUACUUAUACUUGAAGAGUGUAGAAAGGAAGGAAUCAGCAGAGAGAGCUAAGGAGAAGCAAAAGAACAAUUUCACAAAAACAUGGAUUUAAAGAAGUAGUGGGCAGCAAUAUUCAGUGCCGCAGAAAAGGCUCUAGAUUUUAUGAGUAGGAAGUCUCGUGACCUUUAAGAGCACAGGGUUCCAUAGAAGGGUGAGGACAGAAACGAAAUUUGAAAGGAUUAAGGAAUGAGUGAAGUAUAAGAAAAUGUGACAGUAUUUUUUCAAAAUGAAUAAUCAAGCAAUGAAACAUGGAGGAACCUCAAAUGCAUGCCACUAAGUAAAAGAAGCCAGUGUGAAAAGGCUGCAUGACUGUAUGAUUCGAGCUACAUGGCAUUCUGGAAAGGGCAAGCCAUGGAGACAAUGAAAAGAUCAACGGCUGCCAGGGAUUGCAGGGAGGAAAGGAUAAACAGGCAGAGCACAUCAAAUUUUUAGGGCAGGGAAACUAGUCUGUAUUAUACUAUAAUGGUGGGUACAUGUCAUUAUGCAUUUGUCAAAACCUGUAAAAUGUACACCAAAAGUCAACUCUAAUGUACAUUAUGGACUGAGUGAUUAUGAUGUGUCAGUGUAGUUCAUUGGUUGGAACAAAUGUACUCUGGUGGGAGACGUUAAUAGUAGAUGUUGGCCGGGCAUGGUGGCUCACGCCUGUAAUCCCAGAAUUUUGGGAGGCCGAGGAGGGUGGAUCACGAGGUCAGGAGUUCAAGAGCAGCCUGGCCAAGAUGGUGAAACCCUGUCUCUACUAAAAAUACAAAAAUUAGCCCAGCAUGGUAGCAGGCGCCUGUAAUCCCAGCUACUUGGGAGGCUGAGGCAGAGAAUCACUUGAACCCGGGAGGCAGAGGUUGAGUGAGCCGAGAUCACGCCAUUGCACUCCAGCCUGGCAAUAGAGUGAGACUCCAUCUCUAAAUAAAUAAAUAAAUAAAUAAAUAAAUAAAUAAAUAAAUAAAUAAAAUGAAGUCAAUUUUAAAAGAAUGUAUAACCAUUUUUAUUAAUAUAAACUUCUGUGUUACAUACAUGUAUUACUUUUAUUGUAUCAUUUUAUAGCCCUUAAAAAUUUCAACAAAAUGUAAAAAUGUAUUUUUGUGACCAAUGAAAUAAGUGGAGUAAAGUGAUAUUGUUCAGCUAAAUAUAUGAUAGAUAUAAGAAUUUAGUUACAUUUCUGGAAUGACAGAGUGGUGAUGAAUUUUAUAGCAUUAUGACGUAAGUAAGAAAUGUUAGGUCUGUCUUCGGAUGUCUAUUGUAUGUUCCAGUUAUUUAUUGCUGUGUGUAACACACCACACCAAAACUUAGUAGCUUAAAACAGUCAUUUAUUGUUAUGUUCCAUUUUUCUGGGGGUUGACGAAGCUGAGCGUUACUCACUUUUGUGUCCUUCAAAUGGUUGCAGAAAUAUGACAGAUGAGGCUGGAAUUCUGAAAGCUUCUUUACUCACAUGCCUGGCUCCUAGACUAGAAUAGCUAGAAUACCUGUGGGCUGGUCAGGAUUUCUCCCUCUUUUGUCUCUCCACAUAGCCAUAGUGUGGCUUGGGUUUCAAACAGCGUGGCAUUUCAAGACCAGGAAUUCCAGGAGACCCAGGUAGAAGCUUCAAAGUGUGGGAAGUGUUGGAAGUCAUACAGCGUCACUUCCACUAUAUUCUAUUUGGCAAAUCUGUCACAAAUGAGCCCAGAUUCAAGGGAGUAGAGCAAUAGAUAGAUACAGGGAGGAGAGAAAUUGAUGGUAGCCAACUGAAAACAAGAAACAAGCUACCACAAUCUAUUUAGGGGAUAUUUAUAAAAACAUAGAGACACACAUGCACAAACAACACACACGUACACACAUACAUGCAGAUAAAUACAUUUUUAUGAAAAAAUUAAGAAUUAUUAUGAAUGUUCAAGUAUACAAUAAUAUGCAAAGGGAAAACCUUAAUAAUUAAAGUAGGAAAUGAGACUAACUCUGAGAAGAGUAAUCAAAGACAUUGUAUUUUUUUUUCAGUAAGAUCAAGUAAGUCAUUCCAAACUGUCUGGCGUCCUGUCCCAAAACAUCUCUGAACUUCUCAGUUCAAGAAGUAAGUUCCAGAAUUUAUUUGGCAAAGGUAGCUUAUGUUCACAGUACUGUCUCUGGUUUUCCAGUCUGUCUCCUAGUCAUAGGCCCCUAAAGUCCACCAGCCCUUACACUUCCGGCUGCAUGCUUGCAAAAUCUACUAUGUAGUUCUGAUUUUGUAAUUUUCAUUUCAAUGAGCAUGAAAACUUUUAAUACUGAACGUCCAGAAAAGAUCUUGUUUUCUUUUAUUCCCUUUCCUUUAGGUCAUUUUCUUGUAGUUUUCUUCUUUCAUUCAAUUUUGAUAAGACUUCUUUCUUUGAAAAUGACAUUUAAAAAUAAGGUUAACACACAAGUUAUUACUUUAAUAAAGCACAUAACGUAUACCUUAUAAAAUAUUUUGAAUGCUUUAGAAACUUGUCUUUGCUGCACACAGGCAGAAUGGAGUAAUAUUUUAAGAUUUCCUGCAACUAGAAAGGUAUGGAAAGUCUUACUGAUUUAUAUUGUGUUCUGACUUCCUGAGGCAGUUUUCCUAAUGCUAUUCCAUUUUAGUCAUACCAUGAAACAGAGCUUGCUCAUUUAUUGUGUUUUUUUUUUUUUAAUCAGAAUUCAGUGUAGAACUUUGUAUUUCAGUUUUGUUUGUUGUUUCUUUAGCUUAAUUUCUAUGGAAUUUUAUAGUAAUAGCAGUUUUAUUUUAUAAAAGUUCUCUUGCUGGGAGGAUAAUUCUGUAAGCAUUUGAGAAAAGGAAUUCCCAGUUCAAUUUUCAAAAUUAUUUUCAAAAAUAAAUAACCUGACUAUUUAACAUAUAUAGUGUUCCAGACUUGCAUUUAUUGCCUGUACUAUGUAAUUAAAGAUUUUAUUAUCUAUAGUUACUUGGGAAGACACAUCUUUUACAUCAGUGUUUGUUUCUCAGGACAGGAAACAUUUAUUACGGUUCUUUUGUAUUCCUAAAGUACCAUAGUUCUUUUUUUUUUUUUUUUUUGGGGGGGAGAGAGUCUUGCUCUGUCACCCAGGCUGGAGUGCAGUGGCACGUUCUUGGCUUACUGCAGCCUCCACCUCCUGGGUUCAAGUGAUUCUCCUGCCUCUGCCUCCUGAGUAGCAGGGACGACAGGCAUGUGACACCACACCCGGCUAAUUUUUGUAUUUUGGUAGAGAUGGGUUUUCACCAUGUUGGCCAGGCUGGUCCUGAACUCCUGACCUCAGGUGAUCUGCCUGCCUUGGCCUCCCAAAGUGCUGGGAUUACAGGCGUGAGCCACCACGUCCAGCCUUAAAGCUCAUACCAUAGUUCUAGACAAAUAAUAUGUAGAUGCUCACUUGAUAAAAGGGUGUUUAUGUUGUAUUCUUUCCAUUUAAUUCUUGUAAUUUGAGUCUUACUUGCCUUCCUUAACCAUACACCAUAGAAACAUUAUAGAAUUUCUUUUAUUUUUUUUUCCAUCAACUUUUAUUUUAUGUCCCAGGGUACAUAUGCAGGAUAUGCAGGUUUGUUACAUAGGUAAAUGUGUGUCAUGUUUGUUGGCUGCACAGAUCAACCCAUCCCCUAGGUAUUAAGUCUGUCACCCAUUAGCUAUUCUUCCCUGAUGCUCUCCCCCAACCUUUACCCCAACACAGGCCCCUGCGUGUAUUGUUCCCCCGCACCAUAUAUCCAUGUGUUCCCAUCCUUCAGCUCCCACUUAUAAGUGAGAACAUGCGAUGUUUGGUUUUCUGUUCCUGCAUUAGUUUGCUGAGAAUAACAGCUUCCAGCUCCAUCCAUGUCCCUGCAAACAACAUGAUCUUGUUGCUUUUUAUGGCUGCAUAGUAUUAUGGACUUUUUUAUGAUGUAGCUUAGUCUUAAUAACAUUACUGGUUAUUUGUGCAUAAGAUCUUUCUGAUUUAAAUCUUUCCCCUAAAUAUUAAAACAGAAAUGGGAAAAUUUAAUCUUUCUGAAAAGAUCUCCUCUUUUUGUCAUGUGGUUUUUAAUGGCUUUUUAUUAAUACAGUCUCGAGCAGGGGUCUCCAACCCCCAGGCCACAGAUGGGUACCAGUCAGUGCCUGUUAGGAACCAUGCAGCACAGUGGGAGGUGAGUGGUGGGAGAGACAGCAUUAUUGCCUGAGCUCUGCCUCCUGUCAGAUCAGGGGCGACAUUAGAUUUUCAUAGCAGCAGGAACUCUAUUGUGAACUGCGCAUGCGAGAGAUCUAGUUUGUGCUCUCCUUAUGAGAAUCUAAUGCCUGAUCAUCUGAGGUGGAACGGUUUCAUCCUGAAACCAUUCCCCCAACCCACUCUGUGGAAAAAUUGUCUUCUACAAAACCAGUCCCUGGUGCCAAAAAGGUUGGGCAUUGCCAUUAUAUAUAAUAGCUGAAGCGUAUAUACCAGGACAUUUUUUUAAGUUCAAAAUAUAAUUAGAGGCAUCUCAUUAAGAUUUGUUUGUUUGUUUGUGACGGAGUCUCCCUCUGUCGCCAGGCUGGAAUGCAGUGGUGCGAUCUCAGCUCACUGCAACCUCCGCUUCUCGGGUUCAAGUGAUUCUCCUGCUUCAGCCUCCCGAGUGGCUGGGACUACAGGCAUGUGCCACCAUGCCCAGCUAAUUUUUUGUAGUUUUAGUACAGAUGGGGUUUCACCACGUUGGCCAGGAUGGCCUCGAUCUCCUGACCUCGUGAUCCUCCUGCCUCGGCCUCCCAAAGUGCUGGGAUUACAGGCGUGAGCCACCACUCCUGGCCUAAGGUUUUUUUUUUUGGAUUUUUUUUUUUUUAGAUGGCCUCACUCUGUUCCCCUAGGCUGGAGUGCCAUGGAAAGAUCCUAAUCUUUUCAAGGCUCACUGCAGCCUUGACCUCUUGGGGUCAAGUGAUCCUCCCUGAGUAGCUAGGACCACAGGUGCAUCACCUGUCUCAGCCUCCUGAGUAGCUCCUCAGCCUCCUGAGUAGCUAGGACCACAGGUGCAUCACCACACCCAGCUAAUGUUUUUUAUUAUUUUGGUACAGACAGGCUCUCCCUAUGUUGCCCAGGCCGGCCUCAAACUCCUGGACUCUAGUGAUCCUCCUGCCAAGUGCUUUGGGAGCACUUGGCCUCCAAAGUGCUGGUAUUAUAUGUAUGAAUCACUGUGCCCAGCCCUCAUUAAGAUUUAAGAGAAGACUUUUACUCCCUGCAUGCAAUGGCUUAUACUCACAAAUCUCAGCAAAUAUCAGUUCUUCAAAUGACAUGACACUGACAAGAAAUGGAAAGAACCGUUAAGAAUAAUAAAAAAGAGAAAGCUAACUUACAGUGACAUAGAAAGAAAUGAGACAUUUCCAGAGAAGUAGUCAGUUCUUGUGAUUAUUAAUUUUCUUCCUUCUAAACUGACUAAUAAAUAGCAUUUUCAGUUACUUGCACCUUUGAAGCUUUCUGUAGCAGCAUUGUUUCCAUCACUGUGACAUAAGUCUCCUGAGUACAACUCUUAAAAUUAACCCUUUUGAGGUUGCCAGUGGUUUCAGUUUCUUUAUAUUCUUCUGCCUGUCACGCAGAAAAGUAAAUCAUUUUCUCUAAAUUUGUCAUCUUUUCUACUCUGUUAUAGACCCGUCUUCAUAUUUUAAUUUCCCUUAACUUUUGCAGUCUGAACAAAUGAAGAAAUCACAUUUGUAUCUUAUUUUAAGUCCUCAUCAAAAAUUCAAUUCCUUUUGGAGUUUUUCAAAAGCUUUCAAUAGUGGAGGAGUUAUAAGGAGAAGCGAGGUCAGAUGGUUGACAGGAAGUGGGUAAAGUGUUUCAUUGAGGAAGAGUGUGGGGUUAAAGAACACACAAUAAAAGGAGACAAAGGAAGAAGUAGGGCCCCGUGGAAACAAGAGUCAUAAAGACAUAGAAGUGGAGUGCCAAAUGUCUAUAUUUCUUCACAAAGAUGACAAGAUUUGAAAAUACACGUCAGUGACAGUGGCUGGCAAUCAACUACCACGAUAGACCAUAAUGAAAGCCGGGUGGACAAGUAUUCAUUUCUUUGAAAUGAAUACUUUGAAAUGAAUAACUUUGAAAGGCUCAGAUAAGGUCUCUGGUGUAAAGGAAAAUACUCUACAAAAAUUGAUGCUUAAAUGUACAUGGGAGGAGCUUCUGACAAUGUUCUAUUUCUUGACUUUGUUAAUGAUCAAUUAUGCAUUUUGGGAUGAUUCAUUGAGUAAUACACUAAUUUGGGGCACUUUUCUGUGUGAGUGUUAUAUUUCAAUUAAAAAUGAAAGAGUAGCAAAUAAUAAAUAUUUG